rnacentral:rRNA from 1 species
AGAGUUUGAUCAUGGCUCAGGGUGAACGCUGGCGGCGUGCUUAACACAUGCGAGUCGAACGAAGCACUUUAUUACAAGUUUUACCGUUUACCGGGUAAACGUUACGGUAACCGGUAACGUUUUAACGGUUACGGUAACCGUUACGGUAACGGUUACGGGUACCGGGUAACCGGGGUUACGGUAACGGUUAAACCGGUCCGGUUACGGGGUUAAACCCGUUCGGUACCCGUUUAACG